GAGUUUGAUCCUGGCUCAGAUUGAACGCUGGCGGCAGGCCUAACACAUGCAAGUCGAACGGUAACAGGAUGUGCUUGCACAUCGCUGACGAGUGGCGGACGGGUGAGUAAUGCUUGGGAACUUGCCUUUGCGAGGGGGAUAACAGUUGGAAACGACUGCUAAUACCGCAUAAUGUCUUCGGACCAAACGGGGCUUCGGCUCCGGCGCAAAGAGAGGCCCAAGUGAGAUUAGCUAGUUGGUAAGGUAACGGCUUACCAAGGCGACGAUCUCUAGCUGUUCUGAGAGGAAGAUCAGCCACACUGGGACUGAGACACGGCCCAGACUCCUACGGGAGGCAGCAGUGGGGAAUAUUGCACAAUGGGGGAAACCCUGAUGCAGCCAUGCCGCGUGUGUGAAGAAGGCCUUCGGGUUGUAAAGCACUUUCAGUUGUGAGGAAAAGUUAGUAGUUAAUACCUGCUAGCCGUGACGUUAACAACAGAAGAAGCACCGGCUAACUCCGUGCCAGCAGCCGCGGUAAUACGGAGGGUGCGAGCGUUAAUCGGAAUUACUGGGCGUAAAGCGCACGCAGGCGGUUUGUUAAGCUAGAUGUGAAAGCCCCGGGCUCAACCUGGGAUGGUCAUUUAGAACUGGCAGACUAGAGUCUUGGAGAGGGGAGUGGAAUUCCAGGUGUAGCGGUGAAAUGCGUAGAUAUCUGGAGGAACAUCAGUGGCGAAGGCGACUCCCUGGCCAAAGACUGACGCUCAUGUGCGAAAGUGUGGGUAGCGAACAGGAUUAGAUACCCUGGUAGUCCACACCGUAAACGCUGUCUACUAGCUGUGUGUGCCUUUAAGGCGUGCGUAGCGAAGCUAACGCGCUAAGUAGACCGCCUGGGGAGUACGGCCGCAAGGUUAAAACUCAAAUGAAUUGACGGGGGCCCGCACAAGCGGUGGAGCAUGUGGUUUAAUUCGAUACAACGCGAAGAACCUUACCUACACUUGACAUGCUGAGAAGUUACUAGAGAUAGUUUCGUGCCUUCGGGAACCCAGACACAGGUGCUGCAUGGCUGUCGUCAGCUCGUGUCGUGAGAUGUU
rnacentral:rRNA from 1 species